CCUACGGGAGGCAGCAGUGGGGAAUAUUGGACAAUGGGCGAAAGCCUGAUCCAGCAAUGCCGCGUGAGUGAUGAAGGCCUUCGGGUCGUAAAGCUCUUUUACCAGGGAUGAUAAUGACAGUACCUGGAGAAUAAGCUCCGGCUAACUCCGUGCCAGCAGCCGCGGUAAUACGGAGGGAGCUAGCGUUGUUCGGAAUUACUGGGCGUAAAGAGUACGUAGGCGGUUAUUCAAGUCAGAGGUGAAAGCCCGGGGCUCAACCCCGGAACUGCCUUUGAAACUAGAUAACUAGAGUCUUGGAGAGGUUAGUGGAAUUCCGAGUGUAGAGGUGAAAUUCGUAGAUAUUCGGAAGAACACCAGUGGCGAAGGCGACUAACUGGACAAGUACUGACGCUGAGGUACGAAAGCGUGGGGAGCAAACAGGAUUAGAUACCCUGGUAGUCCACGCCGUAAACGAUGAUAACUAGUUGUUCGGUCACUUGGUGACUGAGUGACGCAGCUAACGCAUUAAGUUAUCCGCCUGGGGAGUACGGUCGCAAGAUUAAAACUUAAAGGAAUUGACGG
rnacentral:rRNA from 1 species